rnacentral:rRNA from 1 species
GACGAACGCUGGCGGCGUGCUUAACACAUGCCAGUCGAACGAUGAUGCCAGCUUGCUGGUGGAUUAGUGGCGAACGGGUGAGUAACACGUGAGCAACCUGCCCCUGACUUCGGGAUAACCGCGGGAAACCGUGGCUAAUACCGGAUAUGACGCGCUAUCGCAUGGUGGUGUGUGGAAAGAUUUAUCGGUUGGGGAUGGGCUCGCGGCCUAUCAGCUUGUUGGUGGGGUGAUGGCCUACCAAGGCGACGACGGGUAGCCGGCCUGAGAGGGUGACCGGCCACACUGGGACUGAGACACGGCCCAGACUCCUACGGGAGGCAGCAGUGGGGAAUAUUGCACAAUGGGCGCAAGCCUGAUGAAGCGACGCCGCGUGAGGGAUGACGGCCUUCGGGUUGUAAACCUCUUUCAGUAGGGAAGAAGGCCUUCGGGUGGACGGUACCGGCAGAAGAAGCGCCGGCUAACUACGU